rnacentral:rRNA from 1 species
GACGAACGCUGGCGGCGUGCUUAACACAUGCAAGUCGAACGCUGAAGCUCAGCUUUUGUUGGGUGGAUGAGUGGCGAACGGGUGAGUAACACGUGAGUAACCUGCCUCCUUCUUUGGGAUAACGCCCGGAAACGGGUGCUAAUACUGGAUAUUCACUGGUCUUCGCAUGGGGGUUGGUGGAAAGGGCUUUUCUGGUGGGGGAUGGGCUCGCGGCCUAUCAGCUUGUUGGUGGGGUGAUGGCCUACCAAGGCUUUGACGGGUAGCCGGCCUGAUAGGGUGACCGGUCACAUUGGGACUGAGAUACGGCCCAGGCUCCUACGGGAGGCAGCAGUGGGGAAUAUUGCACAAUGGGCGCAAGACUGAUGCAGCGACGCCGCGUGAGGGAUGGAGGCCUUCGGGUUGUGAACCUCUUUCGCUCAUGGUCAAGCCGCAACAAUGGUUGUGGUGAGGGUAGUGGGUAAAGAAGCGCCGGCUAACUACGUG